UUCCUAUGAGACUUUUUCACCGCCUGCAAACAAAAAUGUUUUUAAUUUAAAUAGAAUACUAAUUUGAUAUGGAAAAUCUAAUUUUCAUUCAUAAUUUUAAUUUUGAAAACGUUCAUUCCGACUGAAAAUGAGCUAUUACUUUACGCUCCCCUAAACUAGUAAACGAAGUUCAAUGCCGUCAAAGCGGGUCGCUGUUUUGAAGAAAACAAAUACUUUUGACGUUUGAGAUGUUGGCACCAAAAACGUGGCGGGUGCCAUACAGCUGGAACGAACAUAAAGAGGCGAGUGUUGUGAAUAUCGCCAAACACCAAACCAUUAGCUAGGCUUUUGAGUGUCGCCCUAUUCUGGCAUUUCAGCAACAGGACACUCACCAAGGAGCUCAGAUUUCUGCUGUCAAGUAGAAAUUCACCAUGUGUUAGUGUUGUGAUAAUACCCAGAUUCCUAUAUUUUCUAGCGGUUAUAAGCACAGUGUCGACCGAGUGACGAAAAGUGCUACAAAAGUGCCGGAAUUUUACCCCGCCUUGCCACCCGCAGACAGCACUGCCCUAAGCUUCUGCUAUAAUCACAAUAAAACUACACGAAUUGAGCGAAUCGCUAUCACAGCAGCCUUUUAUUUUCCUCAUUGAACUGUCAAAACACAACACAUCAGUUUUUGGAGAGAGAAACGAUUUUUAUUAGCUUGAUCGAACUCCCGAACUGCAGAGUAGACAGAUAGGACAGCUUCAACAGGCAUCAUAGUAAAUACAGGU